ACCGCUUCCCCAAGCCGAGGCAGCGCACUUGUGGAGCCGGUAGUUGGCUCCGUGAAACGGAUAUGUGCCAGGCGUUGCCCUCCCACCACACUCCCAUCCACCGCCACCCUGGUGCUUGAAGCAGGGACCUGGGCCACCCCUCACCCAAGGCGUAAGGUGGCAUGUGCAGAAACCUGCAGGAGUGCCUGGAGCUGGCUCUGCCAGCCCUUAGGAACCAUCUAUUCCUGACCCUGCCUUUCCUUGGAGAGGGAGCUGAGGUGCAGCAAGAGGAAGGCACCUGCCCCAGGCCUCCCCCGCCAGAGACCAGGCUGCAUUCUGGAUUCCUGAGGAUAAGGACACUUCAUGAGGGGAGUGCGCCCCUGCCCAGAGGCCCCCAGGGUGUCCAGAGAAUGAAGGAGCCCAAAGCUGCUAUUGUCCAAGGAGCCACAGUCACUUUGCCCAGAUGCAGAUCGUCCUGAAGGUGAGUCCAUGAGUUCUGCCUCCUCCAAAAAAGCCCAUGGCCCCGCACCAAGCAAGGAAAAGUGGCUGGGGAGACCAGAACAAGGGCAGCAGACGCCAAGGCUGCCCAGGAAGCUGAAGGCGGGAACUUCAAAGAGCUUGGCGCACAUCAAAUGCCAAGACCACGGUGCCUCCAAGGAAACAACCAGAGGUGCAGACUGAAAUGCCUGCAUAACUACCAGUGAUCACAUGCUCACUAGGUGCUCGGUGACGGCCGAGGCACCACAUCCACCAGAGUGAGGCAGCCAAGGAAAUUCAUGCUUUGGAAGAAGAUGCGAAGGUUAGAAGGGAGCCACAAGUCUAGGCUCCCAGGGCAGGGCUCGACAGGAGGGAGCAGGACAGCGAGAGGCACAGGUGGUGACCUACAGCAGCUAGAGCCUGCACACAGAGGUUCAGGGAAGGCUGUGUUCUGUGCCUCCAGACCAUCUCCUCCAGCAAGUCCUGCUUCCUCCCUCAGCAGAAAAGAAACACAGCAAGGCCAGCACAGGGGGAACCAACUCCCAGGUAAAGCAGGCAGUCUGAACACACUUCGAAGCCCUCCUGCCAUAUAGACUCAUAGUUCACACUCCUGCCAUGUAGACUCACUCCAGUCCCCACCCCCAGCCUCAUGGCCCAGAGGCUACAGCCGCCACAGACCCUCCAGCCCCAGGUCAGCAAGGACACCCACUCCACUGCCCAAGCACUGCAAGCCCUAGGGUGGUGGGGGGCCAGACCCACGCCUCGAGCCCCUCCCACAGCACCCCCAGAUCCAUAAACUCAGGGCGGCUCAUUUGCACUGUCCUGCCUGUUGCAUGGGAUUAAGUAACUCUAAAUGCAGAAGAACCUGGGUAGGAGACCAUGCUGUGGGGGUGGGGCCUGGCCCCACCCUGUCCACCCGCCCAGGCCCAGUAGGAGUUGGUGCGUGUGGUCUGCUUUGGGCCAAGAGCCCUAGGCCGAGAUGAGAGCCACAGAACGUGAGCCACACCAGCCACACGCACUGCCCAGACUGGAGCAGGGCCUGCGCCCAUCGUGGACACCAUGGACACAAGUCCAGUGUGGGUGGCACCGAGGGGGCACCAGGUGUGUCACUGGCCCCACAGCCUGAGCGACCAGGACUCCAGAGCAGCCCCCAGGCCCCCACUUCCUGGGUGCCUCUGCCCACCACACUGGCCUGGCCAGGGCAGCCACUGUGGCCCACAGGAGCCCAGACACGCUUCAGUCCAAGGCAAGAAGGAGCCUCCUGACCAUCCCAGACAGCCUCCAGGACACACUGGCCUGCUUCGCCAGCUCUGAGUCUGUCACCCAGCCCACGGGCCACCCCUACCCUCCCGUGCUCACCAGGGCUGCCUCAGGACAGUCUGCAAGGACUUCCAGGCCAGAUCAGGGCCCCGCCCAAGCCUGCCAGCCCUGCCCUCUGCCCCACACCCAGCACAGGACCUAGCCUGACGUCAGCA